UGACGCAGCGACGCCGCGUGGACGAUGAAGGCCUUCGGGUCGUAAAGUCCUGUCGGGUGGGAAGAAAUGGCCUGGAGCUAAUAUCUCCAGGUCCUGACUGUACCACCAAAGGAAGCCCCGGCUAACUCCGUGCCAGCACCCGCGGUAAUACGGAGGGGGCCAGCGUUGCUCGGAAUUAUUGGGCGUAAAGGGCGCGUAGGCGGUCUGGUAAGUUUGAUGUGAAAUCCCAUGGCUCACCCGUGGAACUGCAUCUCAUACUGCCGGACUAGAUUCUGGGAGAGGGAAGCGGAUUUCCCGGUGUAGCGGUGAAAUGCGUAGAUAUCGGGAGGAACACCAGUGGCGAAGGAGGCUUCCUGGACCAUUACUGACGCUGAGGCGCGAAAGCUGGGGGAGGCAAACGGAUUAAAUACCCUGGUA
rnacentral:rRNA from 1 species